UACGACCAUAUCUUUUUGAAACACCGGUUCUCGUAGGAACACUAAAGUUAAGCAACGUCGAGCCUGGUCAGUACCUAGAUGGGUGACCGCUUGGGAAUAUCAGGUGGUGUACG